GGCCGUAGCGUAUUUCUCGAAAAUAAGAAUAUGGGUCUUCUUGAUGUAUUUGAUUAUCAAGAAAGAGGAUUUAGAUGUCUACAAAUGCCCCCUGUUUCAAGGCUCGUCGGAGUGUAGACUUGAUGAAACUCAAAGACGAGUCUUGAAGUACCGCUUCCAUCUUUAUGAUCCUGCGGCUACAGAUUUACAUAUUUGAUUUAUGAGAGAAGAGAUGAAGGGCAGAUUUGGUCCCACUGGGCGUGCCAAUUUGUUUGCAACAAAUUUUACAGUGAUGAAUAAUAAAUUACAAUCACAAAUAAAACAUGAAGAAACAAGAACAUUUUAUUAAUAACGAAUAUGGGUACAAUUCUGUUCCUCCCUUGAUUGAUCUCUCAUGAUUUUCUCCAUAAUUCGAGGAUUGUAGUGUAUUUCUCGAAUAGAGGAAUAUGGAUCUCCAUAAUUCGAGGGCCGUAGCGUAUUUCUCAAAUAUAGGAAUAUGGAUCUUCUUGAUGUAUUUGAUUAUCAAGAAAGAGGAUUUUGAUCUAUGAAUAUUCC
rnacentral:lncRNA from 1 species